AUUGAACGCUGGCGGCAUGCUUUACACAUGCAAGUCGAACGGCAGCUCGGGCUUCGGCCUGGCGGCGAGUGGCGAACGUGUGAGUAAUGCAUCGGAACGUGCCCGGUAGUGUGGGAUAGCCCGGCGAAAGCCGUAUUAAUUCCGCAUACGACCUGAGAGUGAAAGCGGGCGACCGAACGGCUUCGCGCGAUUGGAGCGGCCGAUGUCGGUUUAGCUAGUUGGUGGGGUAAAGGCCUACCAAGGCGACGAUCCGUAACUGGUCUGAGAGGACGACGAGCCACACUGGGAGUGAGACACGGCCCAGACUCCUACAGGAGGAAGCAGUGGGGAAUUUUGGAGAAGGGGGGCAACCCUGAUCCAGCCAUGCCGCGUGCGGGAAGAAGGCCUUCGGGCUGUAAACCGCAUUUGUUCGGGAAGAAAUCAUCUGGGCUAAUAACCCGAGGGGAUGACGGUACCGGAAGAAUAAGCACCGGCUAACUACGUG
rnacentral:rRNA from 1 species